AACUUAUUAACAGAAACAGAGAUAGGGAUGCAUGCAAGUGGAAGGCAAGAUGAAGAUCAACUAGCUAAGGUCCUUGGUUGCCAUGGUGAUAAUGGUAAGUAUCAAUAGUGUGAUGUAACCUGACCGCUUUCAUCAAUAAUUAAGGUUAUGCAUGGAUAAAUAGAUAAAUUGAAAGCAUUGGAAGGCUGACCAGGGCACAAAUAGGAAACUCAGAAAGUCUGUGUGAAGCCUCUCGAAAGUCGCUGCCUCCCCUGAAAAUGUUCCGUAGAGGUGAGGCUCGACCUAGGGUCUGAGCAUUAUGACAUCAGUGUCUGUCUUGCUAUGGAUCCCUAGGGAUUGCUGGCCAGCCAGUAUAGCUGAAAUGGAGAAUGGUGGGUUCAGUCGGAGAUCCUGUCUCAAAAACUAAGGUGAAGAGGGUAGAGGAAGAGCAGAUCCUUAAGACAUGAAGUGGAAACAUUUGGGCAAACACAGCGAGGCUAAGGCCUUUGAACAUCAACAGCAUCUCAAUCAGUAAUGACAAUGCAGGAAAGGUCUAGCAGAUAAUGGAUCGACUCUUCCCAGGGAUGAUGCCUGACAGACUUGAUAGACACAAGGCAGCCAGCGAACCUGCGUAAUGAUGUGACAUCCUUAUGCCAGAGCCUUCCAUCGUGGAUUAAGGGCCAGCAGCUCUCCAGGGAUCCUCUAGGCUUCCAGUGACAGAUUGGAACUUGUGAGGCAUCCAUCCCAGUGGGCUGAGAAAGUCCCAGGUUCUCAGCUUCUCCAGUGUGCCCACAGCCACGUGGGACAACUCAACCCGUAUCAAGUAAGCCAGUCUGCGGCUGCCCGUGUCUGGAUCCACCACAUUUCCUUUGUGUGUUCGCUCCUUCAUCAGCUCAUGGAUGUUGGAUGGUUCUACAUACAUCUGGCCCAGGAAUGAUAAGAACAUUUACAUACAAGGCUGCAUGGAUGCAAGGCUGGCUUAAAUGUGCCUGGGAGAAGAAUCUCUGGGAACUCUGGGCAACAUUGUGAGGAACCACUAGACUCUUCCGAAUUUGCUGCACCAUUUUUACCACAAAGGCAGUUUUCAGUUCCCGUGUAGCCUGGCCAUUAGCUCUGGCUGUUAGCCAUCCUUAUUCCAGCCAUACUGCCAGGAGCUAUUUCUCACUGUGGUCUGGGUGUGCGCUUUCCCGUCGGUUGGUGAAGGACACUUUCUAGUUUCCUCGUUGGGGGAGGGGGGCGUUUUUUGAAAAUCGUUUCAGAUUCUUUGCUCCCUUUAAAACUAGAAUUUGCACAUCAUUAUCAGGUGGUAAGAGUCCCUUUUUACCCUCUUGAUAGAAAUCCUUUGUUACAAAGGACCUGCAGCUCUUUUUCCCAUUGUGUGGGUGGCUUUUCAGAUUCUCACGGUGCCCCGUGGUGUCUUCAUGAUGCUAUUAUAAAAUGCUGUAAGCUGGGUAGCUUAGUAAGAAGAAAAGUUUAUUCCUUACAGGGCGAAGGUCAGAAGCUCAUGAUGAAAGCGUGCAGAGAUUUAGCAUCUGGUUAGGCUUCCUCCAAGAUGGCUUUUACUGCAACCUCGAGUAUGUUAAAGUGUUAAGUUAUGGGCUGGAGCAAUGACUUCACAAUUAAGAGCAUUUGCUGUCCCCCCCCCCACCAGGGGACUUGAGUUUCGUAUGAACAUCCAUAUCAGGUAGUUCACCAUAACCCCAGCUCCAGGGGAUCUAACGCCCUCCUCUGGCCAUUACAGGUACUGCACUCGAGUGACAUACACAGAUACAUAUACACAAAUAAAAUAUAAUUUUAAGACAAGAGUAAGUUCUGUGUAGGCAGAUAUUGUUAUGUUUAUAAAUUAUUCAUAGUACUUAGAGCAGCAUCUGGC
rnacentral:sRNA from 1 species